GAUUAACGCUGGCGGCAUGCCUAAUACAUGCAAGUCGAACGGAAAAUAUAUAGAUGCUUGCAUUUAGAUAUUUUUAGUGGCGAACGGGUGAGUAAUAUAUAGAUAACCUACCUUUAAGUUGGGGAUAACAGAGGGAAACUUUUGCUAAUACCGAAUAAAAUAAUUAGACGCAUGUUUAAUUAUUAAAAGGGGCUCCAAAGCCCCGCUCGAAGAGGGGUCUAUAUCGCAUUAGCUAGUUGGUAAGAUAACAGCCUACCAAGGCGAUGAUGCGUAGCUGUACUGAGAGGUAGAACAGCCACAUUGGGACUGAGAUACGGCCCAAACUCCUACGGGAGGCAGCAGUAGGGAAUUUUCGGCAAUGGGGGGAACCCUGACCGAGCAAUGCCGCGUGAUUGAAGAAGGUCUUCGGAUCGUAAAGAUCUGUUAUUAGGGAAGAAUGGAAUUGAUAGGAAAUGAUCAAUUUAUGACGGUGCCUAAUGAGGAAGCCCCGGCUAACUAUGUGCAGCAGCCG
rnacentral:rRNA from 1 species